rnacentral:tRNA from 1 species
GCUAUUUUGGCAGAGAAAUGCAGUAAAUUUAGAAUUUAUUUAUGUAGAGUUAUUCUACAGGUAGUA